rnacentral:rRNA from 1 species
AUGCAUAAGCAGAGACUUAGCAUGGGGGACUGCCGCUUGAAGAGAUGCAAAUGUUGCAACUUCAUUAGAGGUUCUAUGUUGGAAGUUGUGUGUGUCGGUGGUUCAAGUUCACAAGGAUUGGCACCAUGGACUGGAGAAUUGUCGCAAACAACAUGGACACACCAGGGGCAGGGGCUGCAUGCCGCCAAGUCCAAGGCGACUGCCAAGAAGACUGGGCUCGAUGUAGUGACCGAGGAGGCGCAGGCCGCAGGAAACAGAGAAGCUGAUUAUUCUGUUUGCACGACGGGUAUCCCAAAUUCUAAUUCAAACAUUAGUGAUGAUAUAACAAUGUCGUCUACCAAAUUGUGA